ensembl:lncRNA
AGCGUUUUGCAGAAUCACCCACUUAAAGACUGUCCAUGGUGUAAAGUUUGCUGUAUCUACCCAGAAACCUGAAGUGUUUCACAUGAAUUCAUUUCUUCACAAAAUAUGAUCACGUAAAACAGAAAGUGAGUCAAGUGUGCUCUUGGUGCAAUGAGUGAUGGCAGUCUGGUCCACGGCUGCAGCUGUGCCACAGCUCCCAUUUCCAGUUGCUGCCCUCAGCAAAUUGUCUCUAGCACCAAAAAGCGGAGUUCUGGGGAGAAGAGGAGAGCAUGACUCAUAUCAGGGCAGGAGGCUUCUGCUUGCAUCAUAAGCUUUUUUUUUUUUUCCUGAGGAAGAAACAGAUAUGACACGAACAAUACUUGCCAAAUAUGACAGAUGAACAGACUUUUACAGAGCAACAAUAUCAUGUGCAGUUUGAUUGCUCACUGUUUGGCAGACAAGGAUCCAAGGAGUUGUUUCCCUGCUUAGGACCUGUGUGGGGAUGUGUGGAAGGAUGUUGUCCGAAGGGAACCUGUCUUCAGCAGAGAAGACCAUGAAUCCCUGGAGACAAGAGCCAGUGGGAUGUGCAUUUUAGGUGUGCCCAGUACCUGGGUUUUCUUUGGAAGCAGCAUAAUCCACCUUGCACAAAGGCAUCCUUAGUUUCUAUUUUAGUAGUGACUGAUGCAGGUUUAUUUCAUGCCCUGGAUCCAUGGCUUUUAAGAUUAUCCUAAGGAAGGCAUUGUUCAGAAGCAUUUGGAAGAAGCAAACAGCCAAGAGGAGAAGACUGAGCCAACGACUGGAUUAGGGAAGGGAGCAGGCAGGACUGAGGCACCUACAGCUGGGAGAAAGAGGCUGACAGCAAUCGGAACCAGUGAUCUGGAGCAGAGGAAGGACAUGGCUGGUGGAAUCUGGCAACUGAUCCAGGGACAGAAGCUAGCCAUGCAUUAACUAUGCCACGUAAAGAAGUUUUGAACGACUAAAGAAAAACCUUGUAUCCAGAAAAACUGUUUAUAGCAUCAUUUGUCCAGACUAUAAAUUAAGAAAUCCAAGUUAACAUCUAGACCUUUAAAAAGCAAAAAGAAACAAAAACAUCCCCAUUUCUGCUACAUCUCCAGGUGAUAACAGUAUGUUGUCAACUAAAUCAAUGUAAAUGAGUGCUGAAUUCAGUGUUUUCUCACUUAGCUGUGAAGUAUUGAGUGUUUCUUCAGUGGCAUUUUAUUCAAAGGUACCAGCUGGAAAGGAGGAGGAGAAGCUGUGGCUCCAGAGACUCACUGUCAGCUGUUCCAUGCAGCACCACUGACUGCUAGAUCCUGCUUUGGGGCAUUCAUCGUACAUGUGGCUUCUGAGGGCUUCCUGUGCUCCCAUUAUCCUAUUAUUUUUUUCUCCUUUUGUGAGUUCACCAGAUGACUGAAUGCACAAGGUUAAUAUUGAACUCAGUGAGUCCUUAGAUGGAACUGCUACAACCUGAUGGAAAGUCAUAUUUCUUUUUUUGAAGAUGGGAUAACCUAGUAGUGCCAAUGGCUGUUUGCACAUACGGAAAAAAAAAGGUGAGUCUGUAAGAUCUGAUAACGUUCUCUGUUCCCAGUAUCUUGCAAUAAAUGCCAUAAAAAACCCA